GGAUGACUUCAGUGGCUCCCUUAACUAGUUCUGUCACUGUAAAACCCUACAGUCAUUCUUGCACACAUAAAGGACAAAUAAGCUGGAGAGGACGACUCAGACGCUUUCAUUUUUAACUAUUCACCAAUGGAGGAGAAGGCAGAAUGCCUAAGCUAGGUCUCGGUGGCCAAUAGGGUAGCUGUGUGUCUCCCACAUGACUCGCUGCCCCUGUCUUUCACAUGGGCUGUAAUUUAGUUCAAUUCAGAACUGCAGAUAGUACAGGCUUCAGAGCAGCCAGAGAUGCCUGUGCACAAGUGCCUGAGCUCCGAGGGACUUUGGGAAACACUUGGCUAUCCCCCUCCUGCCUGGACCCCGGGACUCUGCACCUGCAGGACAGACAGCCCGGCCGCCGCCUCUGCCGUGCCUCCGGGGACGAGGAACCAGCACAGAUAACCGUUUGGAAAUGGGAUCAUGGCAAAAUUACCAACAAGUCCGUAAAGGAAACUGAAGGCGGUUUGAUCUACACCUUCAAUGCCAGUCCCACAAAGGCUGAAGAAAUAUGUUACGUCUCCAAAGACAUAUACCUCUAAAGAACACAGUCAUGCCCUAAAAUUAGGACAUGAUUCAGGGACUCCAAAUUCAGUGAAACAGCAUAAAGAUCUGAGUUGUCUCUAUUACUGUCAUAAUUUACAAGCGUGUGUGCUAACUUGCUUCAGUCCUGUCCGACUCUGUGUGACCCUAUGGAUGACAGUCUGCCAGACCCCACUGUCCAUGGAAUUUUUCAAGCAAGAAUACUGGAGUGUAGAAAUGGAAUGCUAUUUUCCUCCUCCAGGGCAUCUUCCCAACCCAGGGAUCGAACCCACAUCUCUUACAUCUAACCUGCAUUGGCAGGCAGGUUCUUUACCUCUAGUGACACCCAGGAAGCCCGGUAAUUUAUAUAACAGAGAGCAGGAAAUGUAACAGAAUGCGGAUCUAAGGAAAAGAGUGGGAGGAAUCCGCACACACAGGGUUGUGCAUGGUUACCUUUCCUGCGCACCGUUCUGCGUACCAUUCUGUAGCAAUGGGGUUUAGUAUUUCCUUUCUUAACGCAACGAAGAAGUUCAUGGCUAACAUCAGAGUUUGCAGGUGGGUGGGAACUAUGCUUUUCUUAAAGAUAUCCAGGAUCAAACAUUGCAGAGUUAAUUAGGUUUUACCUCGAAUUGCCUUUCCUACGAUCCUCGGAAACGGUGGGGUGCAGCUGUGAGUCACCUGCUUGCUUUCUAGAGAUAGUGUCCAAGGAUGUAGCUCCAUGAAAAUUCUAAUCAGAUUACACAGAAAUACAGUGCUCCCAGUCUGUGCUUUAUACUCGCAGAUAAAUUAUAUAUGCAUAGUAACAUCUGUCCACUGUUAAAUUUCAUGUCGCACAAUUCUACUGAAUUUUGAAUGGCAUCUUUAGCCACAGAAGCCUAGAAACAUCCUUUGGCUAACAAAAGAAAAAGUCAUCACAUACCUUUGGAAAACAUUUUCAGAACUGUCGCAGGAAUUGCUGAAAGGACCAUUGAAAGAUGUUUGCUAAUGGAAAAUAUGUUUUGUUUAGUAACUGGGCUAUGCUUUAAUAUUUUAUCAACCUGACUGAUAGAGUUCAAUCAUAAAGAAAAUUGAGAAAAAAGAUGAAAUGUAAAAAGAAUCUUGUUAAGAGCAAUAAACUUAUAGAUAGUGAAGUAAAUGGUGGGUUU
ensembl:lncRNA